rnacentral:rRNA from 1 species
GUUACUACGGCACGUUAUGGUGGGCACUCUAAGGAGACUGCCGGUGACAAACCGGAGGAAGGUGGGGAUGACGUCAAGUCAUCAUGGCCCUUACGGCCUGGGCUACACACGUGCUACAAUGGUCGGUACAAAGGGUUGCCAAGCCGCGAGGUGGAGCUAAUCCCAUAAAACCGAUCGUAGUCCGGAUCGCAGUCUGCAACUCGACUGCGUGAAGUCGGAAUCGCUAGUAAUCGUGAAUCAGAAUGUCACGGUGAAUACGUUCCCGGGCCUU